AAAUCACAAUGCGGAACAAUGUUUUGCAAUUGGAUUGAGAACAACGUACAAACCUUAUCGAUAAACAAUUGGAGGGCAAGUCUGGUGCCAGCAGCCGCGGUAAUUCCAGCUCCAAUAGCGUAUAUUAACGUUGUUGCAGUUAAAAAGCUCGUAGUUGAAAUGAAGGGUAGUUGUGUAAUGAAUACAUUCGUGUAUUUUGUUAUUCUACUACCCUCCUUCUAAAUUCGAUAUAUGAGUAUUAAUUUACUUGUAUAUGGUUUUAGACGUUUACUGUGAGAAAAUUAGAGUGUUCAAAGCAGGCAUUUGCUUGAAUAUAUUAGCAUGGAAUAAUCAUGUAUGAUUUUCAUGAUGUAUUUGAUUGGUUUGGUUCAUGAGAAUAAGAUUAAAAGGGACAGUUGGGGGUAUUCAUAUUCAAUAGUCAGAGGUGAAAUUCUCGGAUUUAUGGAAGAUGAACA
rnacentral:rRNA from 1 species